rnacentral:misc_RNA from 1 species
CAGUUGAGAGUCUGUCGUCUGUCAGCUGCGAAGCAAGUUCAGUGUUACGGUAUAAUUUUAGUCACGUGAAAUUAAUUAUCGCUAAACAAGUUUAGUAAUGUUUAUUUUACUGUCUUAAUUGUUUUAUAAUAAUAAUGAUAAAUUAUAAUUAUCAUAAUCUGUCUCAAACAUUUAUACCCUCAAGGGUGCGUGUCCAUUUCCCGUUAUGAUCGUUAUUUAAAGAUCGUUAUAUGUAGACUUCUCUAAGCUAGGCUCCAUUAUAAUAUUUUAGUUGCGUUUACUGUUUAUAUAAUAUUAUUAAGGUAGUCUUCGACCAAAAUGAGCAAUGAAUCAGAAGAAACCCUAAGCAAUGAAAGUUGCCAGGAAGAAUGUCAAGCUUCUUCACUCCCUAUUGAGGUUGUAAUAUAUCUGAUGGAAUUCUUAUCUUACUCUGAUCGUAUAGCAGCAAGUCAUGUUUGUCGACAUUGGUACGAGGCGUCUCUCCACCCAAAGUUUAUCAAUCAGGAAAAAGUUGUACUAAAAAAAUCCGCGUCAGAAGCUUUGCCCAUUUUUAAAAAUGCUUCUAGACCCUAUUUUCAUUUCAUGUUUAUCGAUCUAGAGAUUAGCAAUAAAAUGAAAGAGUUCUGUCUAAAAAUAGCCCCUGAUCUGAAGUCUUUCUACCUCGAAAACUGUGAUGUGUAUGAGAAAAUGCUGGUGGAGAUUCUGUCAGAGUGUACCAGUUUGGAGGCUCUAGUCUUGGAGAACUGCAGAGAGCUGUUCAUGCCUGGUUGUCUACUUGACUCUCCUGAAGAUGUGGCAGUACUGUGUAAGUCACUGCAACACCUGAGGGAGAUCAGUUUAAGUUCUAACCGUUACCUGUCGGAUGCCAUAUUCAACAGACUAAUGUCCGCAAUGCCCAACUUGAAUACCAUUUCUCUGGAGGGCUGCCAAAUAUCGUACCAUGCAGGCCUGGUUAAAAAGUAUUACCCGGAUAGUUUAACUGAAAGCAAUGCUGAUUACGCAUCGGAAACCGUUCUGACAUUUUGGAAUUUAUUUAAGUAUAUUCAAAAACGAGCUAAAUUCAUAAAAAAUAUAAAUUUAAGCAGAACUUUGGUGGAUAGUAAAUGCUUGUCUGUUAUGUCAGAAGUGGUGGAACUUCAGUUAGAAGGUUUAUAUUUAGUUAUGUGUGAACAGUUGAAUAACGUAGCUAUUCGGUCACUCGCUCAACACCAGAAGUCACUAACUGCCCUGGACCUGAGCUGCUGUGCCAGAAUCACUGACCAAGCCCUGCAGUUCAUCUGCAAUGACCUCCAUGGCCUGCGCAAGUUAGCAGUGAGAAAUUGCCGUGCGAUCACUGAUUUGGGUGUAGUUCACUUGAAAAAUUUGACGAAUCUGGUGGAGCUGGAUAUUUCUCAAUGCGAACAAGUGACGGCAAUUGGUAUUCAAGAAGGAUUGUGCUCCAAGGAGAACCGGAAGUUGAGGAAACUAUCCAUGGAGGGUUUGAACACGAUAACAAGCACCACAGUGAUCUCACUAGCUGAGAAUCUACCACUACUUACCCACCUGAACCUGAGCUACUGCUUCAAUGCUGUGACAGACAGCUCCAUCCAGGCAAUAUUCCAGCAUCAGUUGAGGUUAAGGUCACUUCGCCUGGCUUGCUGUGAUGCUGUAACCGAUGCAGGACUGACGGGCAUGGGCAUGGGAGCUACAGUCGACAACACCGUGAUAGAUGCCGUGGUAAACUCGAUGGUACUGUCUCAGCCACGGCCCAACAUCUCGCUUAGGAGUCGGGCAGAGGAGGAGAUUGUUAGGGAUGCCUACAGGAAGAAGGUAGUACAACAGAUGUGCGAAGCUCAACUCACUCAAGGCUCUAGUGUUGGAUACUCAUUGGCCCGACUAAAAGGUCUCCAAGAGCUUGACUUGAGGUCUUGUAACAAGAUAACUGAUGUCAGCUUGAAGUAUUCCUUCCGUUUUCUGGAACUACAGCAUCUUAACUUAAGUCAGUGCCAACAGAUAACGCAUGUCGGCCUCCAGGCUAUUGGUGAGAACAACCCCAGUAUUGACACAUUGAACCUGAGUGAUUGCUACAAUUUGACUGAUGAUGGCAUCAAGGCGCUGACUAUUACUCUGCACCGGCUCAGAUAUCUUGACAUCAAGGGAUGCAAUCAGCUGACCGAAGCCUCAGUUGAUGCGAUUGUGGAGAACUGCCGCAACCUGAGGUAUCUGGAUGCGUCUUGUUGUAACAAGAUGUCCGAUAAGAUUGCAGAGUUGCUUCAUCGGUUACCAGCACAAACCUUCUACAGUCGAGGGGAGCCACGUGUAUCUGCACCAGUGCCGCCACCACCAUUGUUACGUCACUGACAGUGGAGUUCCCGUCUGCCCGUCUAUGUUGGCAUCUAUCUAACUCUCGUCAUCCUCAAGCUAAUAAUUCUAAUGGAGAAAACGAAGACAAUUAUUUUGAUUCAUCCACAAAACCAAAUAAAAAAGUGGUAAUGAAAGCUCUGAAAACAGCAAAAUAGAAUUUGUAAUUUACAAAAGGCAGAAAAUAGAAGUAAGUGUAAAUGGAAAUACCACUAAUGAAGUAAAGCAACCAAGGCAAAACUGUUGGCUAAAUUACGUUAAAAAGAACUUUCAAGACAGCGUUCGCAAAGAUACAGAUACAAUAGAAGAGCAGAUAGUUUGAACAAUGUUGAUCUUCUUCAAGGAAGGCAAAAAGAAUUGGCUAAAUUACGUAAAAUGAUAUAUUUAGAAAGGCAAAAAACGUAGAAAAUGAUAACAUUAAUUGUUCAUCUAUGGCACGUUAAAAAGAACUUUCAAGAUGUUUGUAAAGAUAUAGAACUAAUAAAAGAGCAGAUCGUUUGAACAAUGUUGAUAUUUUUAGCAUUCAAUUUAAUAAUGAGCAAACAUACUUUUUCAAGAUAUAUAUUCACAGCCCGUUAUAAGAAGUAGUCACUUCCGACGGUCAGUCCUGCAUCUGCUUUACUUGUAUUCAGUGUAUACAUUUUGAAAUUACAUUUCAUAGAAAUAUUAAUUUCUAUUAAAAAUCCAGCAUGCUGAAUGGCUUUGGAUAGCCUCCAAUGAUUCUAUCACAGAAUGAUAACUGUUACCAUUUGUGUGAAUUGACCUUGUAUCCAUAUGAGGAUUUUGUAGCAGACAUUCUGUGGCAAUUUGUAGAUAGCUUUACCAUGUCUUUUUCUUGGAGUUGUAAUCAAGUUAAAUCUUUUUUUAUUACCUCAUUUUCAUUAAUUAAAUCUAAAUAUUGAGUAUUUUUUAUUAUUGUCAGAGUUUACUCAAUAUAUAAGUAUUUAAUAUCCUUCUAUGUAUAUUUAUAAAUAGCUGUUUUUGUUGUUUGCUGGUACAUAGUGUGGAAUCAGAACACUUCAAACACAGAUUGUAACACUGGAUGACAUAUCUUCUUCACAUAGACUGUUAUACUGUAAUCAAAGGUGGUACUGUAAUGUGUACAGAAUACAUUUAAAUAUUUUUAUUUAACUAGUCUGUACUUGUUUGAUAUUAUAUAUGCUGAGAAAUUUACCCCUUAACAAUUGAUUGAAAAUAUCCAAAAACGUACAAUUUUCUUGAUUUUUAAUAGUUUUGUUUUUUAGUAGAAAUGGUUUUUUCUAAGUGAAGAUAUUAUGUUUAUAUGGUAAAAAAACCCAUCAAAGUAAAGUUUUUCCAAUUUUUUCUUAAAAGUAUGUUUGCCUUAAACCCUCUUGUUAAUAAUAUUAUUAAAAUAUACGUGUUAUAAAUAGCUGUUCAAAUGUAAGUUUUCAGUGUUUUAAAUUGAUAUUUCAAUGAAAAUUUCCAAUUUUGCAAUUUUUAGAAUUUUUUAGCCAUACACUGCUUUUAUUUUAAUCUCCUCAGAUCAGUAUAAGCGUUCAAAUGGCAAAAUUAAAGUUGAGGCUUCAGGUUUUACUUAUUUAACUCAAAACCGAAACAAAUAGAAAGCCUUAGACUAUUUAGUAGUUUUUUAUAGUUUAUUUUUGUAAAAAUAACGACAAAUACUUAACAUUGAGGUCCACUACAAUGUCUGAUACGUCCAUUGCACACUAAUAUGUUUCUAUAUAACCGUGUAAUUGGUAAAUAAAUUUAUUGACAAAUUAGCAGUUAUCCCAGCUUAACUCCUAUUUGUUGCUUGAGUUUGAUAUGUAAUCUUCAUUACUCCGCCUCUUUGCCUCUUUAAUAGAUAGUCUACAGCACCUUCUAAGAGUUCUCAGUAAGCAGUAAUCUGUGGUAAGUUUUUUAAUCACAAACUCAACCAUCACACUUUGUAAACUUUUCAGACAUUGUUCUGAAAGUUCUGUAAUUAUAAUACAUACAUCCAGCACUCACUGUCUAAUCGUCUAAUGUAUGCGGAUGACACAACCCUUUUAAUAAAAGAUGACUCAGCAGAAGAACUUUAUGUUAACUCUUUAACAUCACUGCAAAAUGCUCUCAUGUAUAGCAAACUCAAUGACCUAGCACAAAACCCCGACAAAACAAGUGCAUUUCAGUAGGAAAAAAGACCAAACACCAAGUCUACCCAAUACAUGAGUAGGUAAUCAGGUCAAGUUUUUGGGUAUCACAAUAGAUAACAAGCUUUCAUGGACAGAACAAGUAAAUAACACCUGCAAAAAAAUGAGCACAGGACUCUACGUAGUAAAACGAAUCAAAUGGAUUGGAACUUUAGAAGCUGCAAAAACUGCCUAUUACACAUUAGUGGAAUCACAUAUCAGAUAUGGACUGGUUGUCUGGGGCAGCUCUGCUGGAAACCUUAAUAGAGUACUCAUUUUACAAAAGAAAGCAGUUAGGACUCUAGAUGGACUGGAACCACUUCAAAGCUGCCAACAAGCCUUCCAGUCUCUGGGUAUACUAACAGUAACGGCUCUCUACAUAUUUGAAACAAUCAUACAUGUUGACAGACUAAACCUCCAGACCAACAGUGACGUCCACACCUACCAUACCCGUAAUGCUUCCAGAUACAUAUUGCCUCAACACCGCACUGCUCUUUUUGGUAAAAAACCAUCAUACAUUGGUAGAAAACUCAAAAAUAUGCUCCCAGAAAACAUCAGAUACCCAUCAGGAAAUCGACUCAAGAAAGGACUUCAAGACUACCUAGUGAAAAGACCAAUAUACACCCUUGAAGAGUUCCUGACAACGCCAAGCUGAGAAAGAACUGCACUAAUAUUGAAUGACAUAAAAUAUGUGAACAUUUUUACUUGUGUUGACAUACUCUCUUUGAAUUUUGUAUGGCACUAUUACUGUACUUUAUGUUCAUUUAAUAAAGAAAAAAACAAAAAAACAUAAUUUUCAUAAAAAUUA